rnacentral:rRNA from 1 species
GAUGAACGCUAGCGACAGGCUUAACACAUGCAAGUCGAGGGGCAGCAUAAAAGUAGCAAUACUUUGGUGGCGACCGGCGCACGGGUGAGUAACGCGUAUGCAACCUACCUAUCAGAGGGGAAUAACCCGGCGAAAGUCGGACUAAUACCGCAUAAAACAGGGGCACCGCAUGGUGAUAUUUGUUAAAGAGAUUCGCUGAUAGAUGGGCAUGCGUUCCAUUAGGUAGUUGGUGAGGUAACGGCUCACCAAGCCGACGAUGGAUAGGGGAACUGAGGGGUUGGUCCCCCACACUGGUACUGAGACACGGACCAGACUCCUACGGGAGGCAGCAGUGAGGAAUAUUGGUCAAUGGGCGAGAGCCUGAACCAGCCAAGUCGCGUGAAGGAAGAAGGAUCUAUGGUUCGUAAACUUCUUUUGCAGGGGAAUAAAGUGCAGGACGUGUCCUGUUUUGUAUGUACCCUGAGAAUAAGGAUCGGCUAACUCCGUGCCAGCAGCCGCCGUAAGAC